AGUGAACGCUGGCGGUAGGCCUAACACAUGCAAGUCGAACGGCAGCCCAGUAGGAGCUUGCUCUUACGGGUGGCGAGUGGCGGACGGGUGAUGAAUACAGCGGAAUCUACUUUUUCUUGGGGGAUAACCUAGGAAAACUUACGCUAAUACGGCAUACGAGCUACGGGUGAAAGCAGGUGAGCUUCGGACCUUGCGCGAGUGAAUGAGCCGAUAUCGGAUUAGCUAGUUGGCGGUGUAGAGGCCCACCAGCGCGACGAGCCGUAGCUGGUCUGAGAGGCUCGUUCGCCACCCUGGAAGUGAGGCACGGUACCGACUCCUACGGGAGGCAGCAGUGGGGAAUAUUGCACGAAGGGCGCGAGGCUGAUCCUGCCAUACCGCGUGGGUGAAGAAGGCCUUAGGGUUGGAAAGCGAUUUUGUUGGGAAGGAAGAGCAGCAGGUUAAUCCCCGGCUGUUAUGACGGUACCCACAGAAUAAGCACCGGCUAACUUCGUG
rnacentral:rRNA from 1 species